CGGACGGGUGAGUAACGCGUGGGUGACCUGCCCCAUACCGGGGGAUAACAGCUGGAAACGGCUGCUAAUACCGCAUAAGCGCACAGAGCUGCAUGGCUCAGUGUGAAAAACUCCGGUGGUAUGGGAUGGGCCCGCGUCUGAUUAGGCAGUUGGCGGGUAACGGCCCACCAAACCGACGAUCAGUAGCCGGCCUGAGAGGGCGACCGGCCACAUUGGGACUGAGACACGGCCCAA
rnacentral:rRNA from 1 species